rnacentral:rRNA from 1 species
UCCUCCAAGGCUAAAUACUCCUGACUGACCGAUAGUGAACCAGUACCGUGAGGGAAAGGCGAAAAGAACCCCGGCGAGGGGAGUGAAAAAGAACCUGAAACCGUGUACGUACAAGCAGUGGGAGCACCCUGUGUGACUGCGUACCUUUUGUAUAAUGGGUCAGCGACUUAUAUUCUGUAGCAAGGUUAACCGAAUAGGGGAGCCGGAGGGAAACCGAGUCUUAAUUGGGCGUUAAGUUGCAGGGUAUAGACCCGAAACCCGGUGAUCUAGCCAUGGGCAGGUUGAAGGUUGGGUAACACUAACUGGAGGACCGAACCGACUAAUGUUGAAAAAUUAGCGGAUGACCUGUGGCU